rnacentral:rRNA from 1 species
AUCGGUGACAGGUGGUGCAUGUUGUCGUCAGCUCGUGUCGUGAGAUGUUGGUUAAGUCCCGCAACGAGCGCAACCCUAUUGUUAGUUGCCAUCAUUCAGGUUGGGCACUCUAGCGAGACUGCCGGUAAUAACCGGAGGAAGGUGGGGAUGACGUCAAAUCAUCAUGCCCCUUAUGACCUGGGCUACACACGUGCUACAAUGGUUGGUACAACGAGUUGCGAGUCGGUGACGGCGAGCUAAUCUCUUAAAGCCAAUCUCAGUUCGGAUUGUAGGCUGCAACUCGCCUACAUGAAGUCGGAAUCGCUAGUAAUCGCGGAUCAGCACGCCGCGGUGAAUACGUUCCCGGGCCUU